rnacentral:rRNA from 1 species
CAGUCGCCGCGGUAAUACGAAGGGGGCUAGCGUUGCUCGGAAUCACUGGGCGUAAAGGGUGCGUAGGCGGGUCUUUAAGUCAGGGGUGAAAUCCUGGAGCUCAACUCCAGAACUGCCUUCGAUACUGAAGAUCUUGAGUUCGGGAGAGGUGAGUGGAACUGCGAGUGUAGAGGUGAAAUUCGUAGAUAUUCGCAAGAACACCAGUGGCGAAGGCGGCUCACUGGCCCGAUACUGACGCUGAGGCACGAAAGCGUGGGGGGCAAACAGGAUUAGAUACCCCGGUAGUCCCUGUCUCUUAUAC